UAACCCUAGAAGAAUAGCCAUUUUCCCUCUCAAAGGCUCCUUUUCUUGUCCUUUCCUUUCUGGCUUCCUCCUCCUCUCCUCCUACUGUUCCUGAAAUUAUCGCCUCACCAAUUAGAUAUCGAUUGGCUCCAAUUUCUUUCCAUUUCGUUUCGUUUUCGAAUCCGAAUUUUCAAGUCCGGAGCAGUCGAGAGGAAGCCAGAUUGAUUGAACGGUUCUUCGUUUUUUUCAUUUGUUGUUCGUCAAGUAAGAUUUGAAUGAGUUUUGUAAUUUCGAUCUUGAAGUUGUGAGACGUGUUUGAUUGAGAUUUCCAUUUCUUAAUUCAGCUUUUGUUCUUGUUUUCUCUGGCUCUCUGCAGUUUGUAUGCUUUUGAUUUGUAUUCUGUUUUCGACGAAUUUGAAAUUUCCAGGCACGGAUUUCGAUGCAGUUUUAUGUGGUUUGAGGAUUAGAGAGGAAGAGGAGCGAGGAUUUGAUUUGAAUAUUGAACCAACAACUUUGUGAUUUUUUGAGUUAUUUCAAUGGGGAAGCCUACGGGAAAGAAGAAGGAAAAUGUUGGCGAGAAGCCUGGAAAUGCUUAUUCGAAGCCGGCUCGGCCGUCCGAGCGGAACACGAAAGCGUUCGAUGAAGACACGGCGAUCUUCGUAAACAUGUCUCAUGAGCUCAAGGAGGAAGGCAAUCGGCUAUUCCAGAAGCGAGAUCAUGAAGGCGCGAUGUUGAAAUAUGAGAAAGCUCUGAAGCUUUUGCCGAGAAAUCACAUCGAUGUUGCUCAUCUCCAUAGCAACAUGGCUACCUGUUAUAUGCAGUUAGGGUUGGGCGAGUAUCCGCGGGCGAUUAACGAGUGCAAUUUGGCGUUGGAGGCUCAUCCGAGGUAUAGCAAGGCGCUGCUGAAGAGAGCAAGGUGUUACGAGGCUUUGAAUCGGUUUGAUUUGGCAUUGCAAGAUGUGAAUACCGUUUUGAGCUUAGAGCCUAAUAAUCUCUCUGCGUUGGAGGUUUUGGAUAGUGUCAAGAACACAAUGAAGGAAAAAGGCGUCGAUAUCGACGAUAAAGAAAUCGGUCUGGCCAGCGUGAAGCUGCGCCCUGCAGAGCGUCUGCAAAAGGUAGUUAGAGAGAAACUAAGGAAGAAGAAGAAUAAGAAAGUUGAAGCAAAGACAGAUGAUAAGCUGGUUGUGGAGGAGAAGGCUGAUCAGCUGGUUCAUGUUGAACAGGUUGAACAGGUUGAACAGGUUGAACAGGUUGAUCAGGUUGAACAGGUUGAACAGGUUGAUCAGGUUGAACAGGUUGAUCAGGUUGAUCCAGUUGAAGAUAAGGAAGUUACAAAAGUCACCAUUGAGGAGGACAAAUUGUUCGUUCAACCGAUCGAGGAUAAACCGGUGUCGAAGACGGUGAAGUUGGUAUUUGGAGAAGACAUAAGAUGGGCGCAGUUACCUACAAACUGCAGCCUGCAAUUGGUGAGCCAGAUUGUUCGAGACAGAUUUCCAAGCUUGAAGGGUGUUCUUGUGAAGUACAGAGAUCAAGAGGGUGAUUUGGUUACAAUUACCACAACAGAGGAGUUGAGGUUGGUUGAAUCAUCAUGUCAGCUGCAGGCUUCACUUAGACUGUAUAUUACAGAGGUCAGUCCUGAUCAGGAACCCAUCUACAAGGAAACUGAUAAUGAUGAGAGGCAUCCAAAGCUUGAUAAAAGAAGAAGUACAGUGGUGGUGAAUGAUAAAGAGGUUACAAGGGGUAUGACUACGGUUGAGGAUUGGAUAGUUCAGUUUGCACGAUUGUUCAAGAACCAUGUCGGGGUCGAUGCCGAUUCAUACUUGGAUCUUCACGAGCUGGGAAUGAAACUGUACUCGGAAGCGAUGGAGGACACCGUAACUGGAGACAGUGCACAGGAGAUUUUUGAAAUUGCUGCAGAAAAGUUUCAAGAAAUGGCAGCUCUGGCAUUCUUCAACUGGGGCAAUGUUCACAUGUCCAGAGCAAGGAAGCAGGUUUUCUUCCCCGAAGACGGUUUGAGGGAAACGUUACUUCUUCGGAUUAAGGACGCAUAUGAAUGGGCACGAAAAGAAUACAAGAAAGCUGAAAUGAGAUACGAAGAAGCUCUUAGUGUAAAACCAGAUUUCUAUGAAGGUUUCCUUGCACUUGGGCAGCAGCAGUUUGAGCAAGCUAAGCUUUGUUGGUAUUAUGCAAUUGCUAGCGGUAGCCAAAUCGGUUUGCUAUCGAGCUUUUCGUCGGAGGUCUUACAGCUUUAUAAUAAGGCUGAGGACAGCAUGGAGAAGGGGAUGUUGAUGUGGGAAGAAAUGGAGGAGCAGCGUCUGAAUGGUCUCUCCAAAAGUGAAAAAUACAGAUCCGAAUUGAAAAAAAUUGGAUUGGAAAGCCUGUUUAGUGAGAUUCCUGCUGAUGAAGCUGCAGAGCUGGCUUCAAACAUGAGAUCUCAGAUAUAUCUUUUAUGGGGUACCUUAUUGUACGAGCGUUCUGUCGUGGAGUAUAAGAUCGAGCUUCCGACAUGGGAGGAAUGUUUGGAAGUAUCAGUCGAGAAGUUCGAACUUGCAGGUGCUUCCCAAACAGAUAUUGCUGUUAUGAUCAAGAAUCAUUGUUCCAAUGAAACUGCACUGGAAGGGUUCGUCUUCAAAAUCGACGAGAUCGUUCAGGCAUGGAACGAAAUGUACGACGCCAAAAGGUGGCAGUUUGGUGUUCCAUCUUUCCGCCUCGAGCCUUUGUUUCGACGUCGGGCUCCUAAACUUCACUUCACUUUGGAGCAUUUUUGAGAGUUUUGUUGUUGAUGGAUGGGGCAUUCUUUUUAGACGCAUUUAAGCAUUAUUUCAGUUCUCUUUGCAUCAAAUUUUCUGGUGUUCUGCUUCCCUCAUACACAAAAGCAUUGUACACCAGCCGUUACAGUUUCAAUUCAAUUCGUCGUUUGCUUGGUCAGAGUGUAAGUUUGUUUAUACUAUGAUUCUUUCUUUCAUUCAAGAGAAGAUUGGCCAUUCAAGAACAAAGAUAUAGUUAUAUAGAUUUAUUCAUUAUUCAUCAAUGAUUAUCAUUUAUAGGGUGGAGGAAGAAAAUAAAUUCAUUUUCAAUUCAAUUUAUGAGAUUGAAUAGAGAGAAUUUAUUGUGUUGUUAAUUUUGAAGAGCUGUUUGGUUAUGUUGUUGUAGUGAUUCUCAAAUUGAUUGUUUUGGAAUUUGAAGAUUGAUGGGAUGAAUUAUUAUAGAAUUACACCCAAUUAUUUUUGUUA